rnacentral:rRNA from 1 species
GACGAACGCUGGCGGCGUGCUUAACACAUGCAAGUCGAACGGAAAGGCCCUGCUUUUGUGGGGUGCUCGAGUGGCGAACGGGUGAGUAACACGUGAGUAACCUGCCCUUGACUUUGGGAUAACUUCAGGAAACUGGGGCUAAUACCGGAUAGGAGCUCCUGCUGCAUGGUGGGGGUUGGAAAGUUUCGGCGGUUGGGGAUGGACUCGCGGCUUAUCAGCUUGUUGGUGGGGUAGUGGCUUACCAAGGCUUUGACGGGUAGCCGGCCUGAGAGGGUGACCGGCCACAUUGGGACUGAGAGACGGCCCAGACUCCUACGGGAGGCAGCGGUGGGGAAUAUUGCACAAUGGGCGGAAGCCUGAUGCAGCAACGCCGCGUGCGGGAUGACGGCCUUCGGGUUGUAAACCGCUUUCGCCUGUGGCGAAGCGUGAGUGACGGUAAUGGGUAAAGAAGCACCGGCUAACUACGUG